GACGAACGCUGGCGGCGUGCUUAACACAUGCCAGUCGAACGGAAAGGCCCUGCUUUUGUGGGGUGCUCGAGUGGCGAACGGGUGAGUAACACGUGAGUAACCUGCCCUUGACUUUGGGAUAACUUCAGGAAACUGGGGCUAAUACCGGAUAGGAGCUCCUGCUGCAUGGUGGGGGUUGGAAAGUUUCGGCGGUUGGGGAUGGACUCGCGGCUUAUCAGCUUGUUGGUGGGGUAGUGGCUUACCAAGGCUUUGACGGGUAGCCGGCCUGAGAGGGUGACCGGCCACAUUGGGACUGAGAUACGGCCCAGACUCCUACGGGAGGCAGCAGUGGGGAAUAUUGCACAAUGGGCGGAAGCCUGAUGCAGCAACGCCGCGUGCGGGAUGACGGCCUUCGGGUUGUAAACCGCUUUCGCCUGUGACGAAGCGUCAGUGACGGUAAUGGGUAAAGAAGCACCGGCUAACUACGUG
rnacentral:rRNA from 1 species